GUUCUAACUGCAUUGGGCAUCCAGUUAGCGCUCAAAAAAAUGUUAGCUCCUAUUAAAAAGUUUGCAUUCGGGAGAGCCAAAUACCACAUGACGAUGACCAGGGAUGGAUCUCUGAAGACAGAGUGCUAUAUAUGACAUGUUUCUUAUGUGUUUCUAUGUGUGUGUGUGAUUAGUCCUUAUGCAAUUCAGUUAGUUAAUGGCUUAAGGGGAUCAUCAAGAACUUUUUUUUUCCCACUGGGGCACUGAUGGGCACCUUCAUUUACAGAUGACUGUGGAUUUAAAGGCAAUCCAGACUGCCAGAGACAGAGAAGCCAAAGUGCAUCUGGGAAGCAAAUGUGUGACUGCACAUCACUGGACAUCAAGUGUGGAUUAUGUCUUCACAUCAAACUGGAAGACUAGAGAAGCUGAACAUAUGAGUGAGCUCAGCUAAGAGACCAAGGAAAGAGGAGAAAAGAGGAACCAAGUGAUAGGUGAUUGAAAGAUAUGACUAGGCGGGAAGGCCAGUCUCGUGUCUCCCACUGCUUGUAUGAGAAGGGCAAAGAGAGAGGCUUGAAUGCUCUUUCCAUCCUUCCCCUGUAGCUUGUUUCCGGAGCUCAUCUUCAUCCUUCAACACUCAGCUUCAACGUCACCAUCUCCAGGAAGACUAUGCAGAUAUAUCCAGGUUUGCAUGAACAGAAAAGAAGAGGGGUGGUGAGCAAAGAAAUGAGCUCCAUCUCUAUCUGUAGACUCUGACCCUGGCUGAUUCCUUUGUGCACUGUGACAAAUGGAGACACAGAAGAUGGAAAACCACAUUCCUAAUUUCUUUCCCUGACAGACACCUAUUAGCAUUCUGUAUUGCAAAGAAGACCUGAAAGACGUGGAUGCAAAUAUCAUCAAGGCAGCAUCUCUGCAUCCACAGGAAGACAAUUAAACACACACAAGUUGCCUACACCUCCAGCCUCAGACAAGCUCCAAGGGCUGCCUUGAAGUCCUUCAGUCAAUAAGAUUUUUUUUUUUGUUUUACCUUUUUGUAUCCUCAAAAU
rnacentral:lncRNA from 1 species